rnacentral:rRNA from 1 species
CCUAUGGGAGGCAGCAGUAGGGAAUUUUCGGCAAUGGGGGGAACCCUGACCGCGCAACGCCGCGUGAACGAAGAAGUUAUUCGUUAUGUAAAGCUCUAUCAGCAGGGAAGAAAAUGACGGUACCUGAGUAAGAAUCCCCGGCUAACUACGUGCCAGCAGCCGCGGUAAUACGUAGGGGGCAAGCGUUAUCCGAAUUUACUGGGUGUAAAGGGAGCGUAGACGGCAGUGCAAGUCUGGAGUGAAAGGCGGGGGCUCAACCCCCGGACUGCUCUGGAAACUGUACGGCUGGAGUGCAGGAGAGGUAAGUGGAAUUCCUAGUGUAGCGGUGAAAUGCGUAGAUAUUAGGAGGAACACCAGUGGCGAAGGCGGCUUACUGGACUGUAACUGACGUUGAGGCUCGAAAGCGUGGGGAGCAAACAGGAUUAGAUACCCCGGUAGUC